rnacentral:misc_RNA from 1 species
UUAAGUUCAGCGGGUAUCCCUACCUGAUCCGAGGUCAACCUGAAAAAAAUUGGGGGUUGCUGGCGGGCACGCGCCUGGGCCUCCUGAGCGAGAAGAUUUACUACGCUCGGAGCCAGACGGCACCGCCACUGACUUUAGGGCCCGCCGGGUCGGCGGGGCCCAACACCAAGCAGAGCUUGAGGGUUGUAAUGACGCUCGGA